rnacentral:rRNA from 1 species
CCUACGGGAGGCAGCAGUGAGGAAUAUUGGUCGAUGGACGCAAGUCUGAACCAGCCAUGCCGCGUGCAGGAAGACGGCUCUAUGAGUUGUAAACUGCUUUUGUACGAGGGUAAACGCAGAUACGCGUAUCUGUCUGAAAGUAUCGUACGAAUAAGGAUCGGCUAACUCCGUGCCAGCAGCCGCGGUAAUACGGAGGAUUCAAGCGUUAUCCGGAUUUAUUGGGGUUAAAGGGUGCGUAGGCGGUCGGAUAAGUUAGAGGUGAAAUCCAGAGGCUCAACUUCGGAAUUGCCGCUGAUACUGGCAGGCUAGAGAGUAGUUGAGGUAGGCGGAAUGUAUGGUGUAGCGGUGAAAUGCGUAGAGAUCAUACAGAACACCGAUUGCGAAGGCAGCUUACCAAGCUACUGCUGACGUUGAGGCACGAAAGCGUGGGGAGCAAACAGGAUUAGAUACCCCUGUAGUC